GUUUGAUCCUGGCUCAGAACGAACGCUGGCGGCGUGCCUAACACAUGCAAGUCGAACGAGAAUGCAGGCUUCGGUCUGCUAGUAAAGUGGCGCACGGGUGAGUAACACGUGGGUAACGUACAUCGUAGUGGGGGAUAACCAGGUGAAAGCUUGGCUAAUACCGCAUGAGUCCGUCGGGACGAAGGUUCUGACGGGGAAAGUGGAGCAAUCCACGCUACGAGAUCGGCCCCGCGGCCCCAUUUAGCUAGUUGGUGAGGUAACGGCCCACCAAGGCGACGAUGGGUAGCUGGUCUGAGAGGAUGAUCAGCCACACUGGAACUGAGACACGGUCCAGACUCCUACGGGAGGCAGCAGUGGGGAAUUUUGCGCAAUGGGCGAAAGGCCUGACGCAGCAACGCCGCGUGUGUGACGAAGGCCCUAGGGUUGUAAGCACUGUGGAAGGGAAGAAAAACGGGGUU
rnacentral:rRNA from 1 species